ACCCAAUUGGCGAAUCCCAAAUAAGACGAAACGCGCGUCCCGGAU
rnacentral:hammerhead_ribozyme from 1 species